rnacentral:rRNA from 1 species
AGUGAACGCUGGCGGUAGGCCUAACACAUGCAAGUCGAACGGCAGCACAGUAAGAGCUUGCUCUUACGGGUGGCGAGUGGCGGACGGGUGAAGAAUACAUCGGAAUCUACUUUUUCGUGGGGGAUAACGUAGGGAAACUUACGCUAAUACCGCAUACGACCUACGGGUGAAAGCAGGGGAUCUUCGGACCUUGCGCGAUUGAAUGAGCCGAUGUCGGAUUGGCUAGUUGGCGGGGUAAAGGCCCACCAAGGCGACGAUCCGUAGCUGGUCUGAGAGGAUGAUCAGCCACACUGGAACUGAGACACGGUCCAGACUCCUACGGGAGGCAGCAGUGGGGAAUAUUGGACAAUGGGCGCAAGCCUGAUCCAGCCAUACCGCGUGGGUGAAGAAGGCCUUCGGGUUGUAAAGCCCUUUUGUUGGGAAAGAAAAGCAGCAGGUUAAUACCCCGCUGUUCUGACGGUACCCAAAGAAUAAGCACCGGCUAACUUCGUG